AUGGAAUUCUAUAGUUUGCAUGAAUCCCUUCAUCAGGAAGUCGCCAAAUAUUUUUCUAGGUUUUUCUGGGUGGGACCAGACAAUAGACAAAAAUAUCACAUGGUGAAGUGGUCCGAGAUUUGCAAGCCUAAGGACCAAGGCGGUUUGGAAGUCAUCUCGUCCAAGCGGAUGAACAUAGCCUUGCUCUCCAAAUGGCUAUGGCGCAUUGAGGCAGGAGAUGGGGGGCUAUGGCUCCAGAUUAUCCGCGCAAAGUACUUGCAUGGACAACCCCUUGCCUUCUCCCCCCGAACAGGUGGUUCCUAG
rnacentral:rRNA from 1 species